AUCUGUACCUUUUUUGUUUUUUUUUGCUGUUAUUUUUUUUUUUUUUUUUUUUUUUGUUUCUUCUAGA
rnacentral:ribozyme from 12 species